AACGAACGCUGGCGGCAGGCCUAACACAUGCAAGUCGAGCGAGGACUUCGGUUCUAGCGGCGGACGGGUGAGUAACGCGUGGGAAUGUGCCCUUCUCUACGGAAUAGCCCUGGGAAACUGGGAGUAAUACCGUAUACGCCCUAUUGGGGAAAGAUUUAUCGGAGAAGGAUCAGCCCGCGUUGGAUUAGGUAGUUGGUGGGGUAAUGGCCUACCAAGCCGACGAUCCAUAGCUGGUUUGAGAGGAUGAUCAGCCACACUGGGACUGAGACACGGCCCAAACUCCUACGGGAGGCAGCAGUGGGGAAUCUUGCGCAAUGGGGGAAACCCUGACGCAGCGACGUCGCGUGGGUGAGGAAGUCCUUCGGGAUGUAAAGCCCUUUUGUUGGGGACGAGCGUGGACGGUACCCAACGAAUAAGCCCGGCUAACUACGUGCCAGCAGCCGCCGUAAAAC
rnacentral:rRNA from 1 species